rnacentral:rRNA from 1 species
ACUGCUCAGUAACACGUGGGUAACCUGCCCUUGGGUCCGGCAUAACCCCGGGAAACUGGGGAUAAUUCCGGAUAACGCAUAUGUGCUGGAAUGUUUAUGCGUCAAAUGGAUUCGUCUGCCCAAGGAUGGGUCUGCGGCCUAUCAGGUAGUAGUGGGUGUAAUGUACCUACUAGCCGACAACGGGUACGGGUUGUGAGAGCAAGAGCCCGGAGAUGGAUUCUGAGACAUGAAUCCAGGCCCUACGGGGCGCAGCAGGCGCGAAAACUUUACAAUGCGGGAAACCGUGAUAAGGGGACACCGAGUGUCAGCACCAUAUGCUGGCUGUCCAGGUGUGUAAAAUACACCUGUUAGCAAGGGCCGGGCAAGACCGGUGCCAGCCGCCGCGGUAACACCGGCGGCCCGAGUGGUGAUCGUGAUUAUUGGGUCUAAAGGGUCCGUAGCCGGUUUGGUCAGUCCUCCGGGAAAUCUGAUAGCUCAACUAUUAGGCUAUCGGGGGAUACUACCAGACUUGGAACCGGGAGAGGUAAGAGGUACUACAGGGGUAGGAGUGAAAUCUUGUAAUCCCUGUGGGACCACCUGUGGCGAAGGCGUCUUACCAGAACGGGUUCGACGGUGAGGGACGAAAGCUGGGGGCACGAACCGGAUUAGAUACCCGGGUAGUCCCAGCCGUAAACGAUGCUCGCUAGGUGUCAGGCAUGGCGCGACCGUGUCUGGUGCCGCAGGGAAGCCGUGAAGCGAGCCACCUGGGAAGUACGGCCGCAAGGCUGAAACUUAAAGGAAUUGGCGGGGGAGCAC